rnacentral:rRNA from 1 species
UGAGGCGCAGAGCCGCGACUAGCUCGCGUUCGGCCCGAUGCAAGCGUGGACGGUUACCUGAUCAUCGGACUUGUGCCGAUCUCGGGGCCGCUCAGCUGCUGGUGUCGGUGUUCCCGGACAGACUCUGUACUCGCUAGUCGGUGACGCUAUAGCUUUGGGUACUUUCAGGGCCCGUCUUGAAACACGGACCAAGGAGUCUAGCAUGUGCGCGAGUCAUUGGGACUAUCGAAUCCUAAAGGCGUAAUGAAAGUAAAGGCAGAGCCUAGCUCGGCCAAGGGAAGAUGGGUGACGUAAGUCGCCUCGCACUCCCGGGGCGUCUCAUUCUCAUUGCGAGAAGAGGCGCACCUAGAGCGUACACGCUGGGACAAGGGAGAUGGUGAACUAUGCCUGGUCAGGACGAAGU